rnacentral:rRNA from 1 species
GACGAACGCUGGCGGCGUGCCUAAUACAUGCAAGUAGAACGCACAGUCUAUACCGUAGCUUGCUUCACCAUAGACUGUGAGUUGCGAACGGGUGAGUAACGCGUUGCUAACCUGCCUGGUAGCGGUGGAUAACUAUUGGAAACGAUAGCUAAUACCUCAUAAUAUUCAUUAUUGCAUGAUAAUUAAUUGAAAUGUUGAAUUUCACCACUACCACAUGGCCCUGCGUUGUAUUAGCUAGUAGGUGAGGUAACGGCUCACCUAGGCGACGAUACAUAGCCGAACCGGGAAGGUGAUUGGCCACACUGGGACUGGGACACGGGCCAGACUCCCAAGGGGAGGAGCAAGAAGGAAACUUCGGGAAAGGGGGAAAGGCUGAACGGACAAAGCCGGGGGAGGGAAGAAGGUUUUCGGAUCGUAAAGCUCUGGUGUAAGGGGAGAAAGAGUGUGAGAGUGGAAAGUGCACAUUGUGACGGUAUCUUAUCAGAAAGGGACGGCUAACUACGUG